UACGAAGGGGGCUAGCGUUGCUCGGAAUCACUGGGCGUAAAGCGCACGUAGGCGGAUUGUUAAGUCAGGGGUGAAAUCCUGGAGCUCAACUCCAGAACUGCCUUUGAUACUGUCGAUCUAGAGUAUGGAAGAGGUGAGUGGAAUUCCGAGUGUAGAGGUGAAAUUCGUAGAUAUUCGGAGGAACACCAGUGGCGAAGGCGGCUCACUGGUCCAUUACUGACGCUGAGGUGCGAAAGCGUGGGGAGCAAACAGG
rnacentral:rRNA from 1 species